rnacentral:lncRNA from 1 species
CAUUGACUCGAAGAUAUCGAUCAGGUGGGUGAUGCUCUCACGGCCCUUGGGAAGGGCUUCAGCUUGCUGUGCAAUGGAAACGCGUCCGUCUCUUCGGCCAUAGACGUUCCCCCAGUAUGGCCCUCCGACCUGCAUGCAUGCAUGCCCGUCGUUUCACGCACGGCAACUUCGAUCUAAAUCGCAAAGGAAGAAGAUGGAGUAGUCGGCGUCAGUACCAUAAGAGUGGCAUCCCUCGCUGCAGCCACGAGUAUGUCGGCGCAGGAGACGGUCUUGGGGCACCGCCUCUCGAUCUCCGCCUUGAUGUCGUCGAUCACGUGGAAGCCCCUCAGCGUCGCGCUCACUGGCGACCGCCUCUCCCCUCC